rnacentral:ncRNA from 1 species
CCGGCUCCGGUUCACGCCGCUCGACAUGGCGACAUGUCGAGGCGACCCGGCGGCC